rnacentral:rRNA from 1 species
AAUAGAUACCCCGGUAGUCCACGCCGUAAACGAUGUCGACUUGGAGGUUGUGCCCUUGAAGCGUGGCUUCCGGAGCUAACGCGUUAAGUCGACCGCCUGGGGAGUACGGCCGCAAGGUUAAAACUCAAAUGAAUUGACGGGGGCCCGCACAAGCGGUGGAGCAUGUGGUUUAAUUCGAUGCAACGCGAAGAACCUUACCUGGUCUUGACAUCCACGGAAGUUUUCAGAGAUGAGAAUGUGCCUUCGGGAACCGUGAGACAGGUGCUGCAUGGCUGUCGUCAGCUCGUGUUGUGAAAUGUUGGGUUAAGUCCCGCAACGAGCGCAACCCUUAUCCUUUGUUGCCAGCGGUUAGGCCGGGAACUCAAAGGAGACUGCCAGUGAUAAACUGGAGGAAGGUGGGGAUGACGUCAAGUCAUCAUGGCCCUUACGACCAGGGCUACACACGUGCUACAAUGGCGCAUACAAAGAGAAGCGACCCUGCGAGGGCAAGCGGACCUCAUAAAGUGCGUCGUAGUCCGGAUUGGAGUCUGC